rnacentral:rRNA from 1 species
UCAUUAUUGAAUAAACUUGAUGUAGUUGAGCUGACUCUCUCGGGAGUAUGUGCUCGCUCGUCAUCUUUAUCUUUCCACCUGUGCACUUUUUGUAGAUUUGGAUGUAACUGUCCGAGGCAACUCGGUUGGGAGGAAUGCUGUCUCUGAUGGCUUUCCUUGUAUGUCCAAGUCUAUGUUUUCAUAUACUCCAAGUAUGUAACAGAAUGUAUCACUGGGCCUUGUGACUAUAACUAUAUAAAACUUUCAGCAACGGAUCUCUUGGCUCUCGCAUCGAUGAAGAACGCAGCGAAAUGCGAUAAGUAAUGUGAAUUGCAGAAUUCAGUGAAUCAUCGAAUCUUUGAACGCACCUUGCGCCCCUUGGUAUUCCGAGGGGCAUGCCUGUUGAGUGUCAUUAAAUUCUCAACCUUACUAGCUUUGCGAAGUAAUGGCUUGGACUUGGGGUCUUUUUUGCUGGGUUUCGAAAAGAGAUCUGCUCCCCCUUAAAAUGCAUUAGCCGGUGCCCCCGCGUGGACCCGUCUAUGGGUGUGAUAAAUUAUCUACGCCGUUAGAUGUCUGCUAUUAAAUGGGAUGUGCUGCUUCUAAUCGUCCUUCAGGACAAUUAUUGACCAUUUGACCUCAAAUCAGGUAGGACUACCCGCUGAACUUAA